rnacentral:tRNA from 1 species
GGGUGGUUAGCUCAGCUGGUUCAGAGCACCUGCCUUACAAGCAGGGGGUCACUGGUUCGAAUCCAGUACCACCCA